rnacentral:lncRNA from 1 species
CUAUAAUGAGGGGAGCAGCUUUCUCCCUCUUACCCUCACCAUUCUGUUUCUUCCUUAGAUCCAGCCUAACAUGGACUGAACCAAAUGACUCUCUCCUCCUUUAAGCUGUGAAUGUUGAAUGUAUUGCCCCAGCACCAGGGAGAGUCACUGAGUCGUUCGCUUCCAGCUUCUUAUUCCAGGCCUCUUCCCUUGUCUUCCCGCUUCAUUAUUCCCUUUCCAGAUCAAAACAGACUUUUGCCUCCCAAGGGGCCAGCUGUGGAUUUGAUAUUUCCAGGAGGAACCAGCCUGCUGCCCUGCUCUGCCCACUUAGAAUCUUGCCCAGGGGAAGCCGCCUGUGGGUGGGGACUGAACCUGUCCGCAGUGCUGGAACAGACAGCAGGAGACCUGAAGACAGGGUGUGCAGGCCGCGCUGCUCCCUGCACCCUGUGCAGGCCAGGUCCGGAGAGGCCAGUGGAACGCGAGGGGCCCCCUUUGCACAGGAACUUUCUGUCACUUUUCGAGAUCAAUGCAAAGCCUAUUUGGAAAGGGCUUCCUCCACCUCUUCCAAAGACACCAGGACGAUCGAUCUCCUUGCGCGUUGGAUGCUGA